rnacentral:rRNA from 1 species
UCGGGAAUCUUGGGCAAUGGGGGAAACCCUGACCCAGCAACGCCGCGUGAGGGAUGAAGGCCUUCGGGUCGUAAACCUCUGUCGAGAGGGAAGAAAGGUCGCCGUACGAACAAUGCGGUGGCUUGACGGUACCUCCAAAGGAAGCACCGGCUAACUCCGUGCCAGCAGCCGCGGUAAUACGGAGGGUGCAAGCGUUGUUCGGAAUCACUGGGCGUAAAGCGCGUGUAGGCGGCCUGGCAAGUCGAUUGUGAAAUCCCGAGGCCCAACCUCGGAACUGCAACCGAAACUGCCAGGCUCGAGUCCCGGAGAGGGUGGCGGAAUUUCCGGUGUAGAGGUGAAAUUCGUAGAUAUCGGAAGGAACACCAGUGGCGAAGGCGGCCACCUGGACGGUGACUGACGCUGAGACGCGAAAGCGUGGGGAGCGAACAGGAUUAGAUACCCCCGUAGUCC